CCUCGGGUGGCUGCAGUGGGGAAUAUUGCACAAUGGGGGAAACCCUGAUGCAGCGACGCCGCGUGAGCGAUGAAGUAUUUCGGUAUGUAAAGCUCUAUCAGCAGGGAAGAAAAUGACGGUACCUGACUCAGAAGCCCCGGCUAACUACGUGCCAGCAGCCGCGGUAAUACGUAGGGGGCCAGCGUUAUCCGGAUUUACUGGGUGUAGAGGGAGCGUAGACGGCGGUGCAAGCCAGAUGUGAAAGCCUGGGGCUCAACCCCGGGACUGCAUUUGGAACUGUGCUGCUAGAGUGUCGGAGAGGCAGGCGGAAUUCCUAGUGUAGCGGUGAAAUGCGUAGAUAUUAGGAGGAACACCAGUGGCGAAGGCAGCCUGCUGGACGAUGACUGACGUUGAGGCUCGAAAGCGUGGGGAGCAAACAGGAUUAGAUACCCGUGUAGUC
rnacentral:rRNA from 1 species